UACGAAGGGGGCUAGCGUUGUUCGGAAUUACUGGGCGUAAAGCGCACGUAGGCGGGUUGUUAAGUCAGGGGUGAAAUCCUGGAGCUCAACUCCAGAACUGCCUUUGAUACUGGCGGCCUAGAGACUGGAAGAGGUUAGUGGAAUUCCCAGUGUAGAGGUGAAAUUCGUAGAUAUUGGGAAGAACACCAGUGGCGAAGGCGGCUAACUGGUCCAGCACUGACGCUGAGGUGCGAAAGCGUGGGGAGCAAACAGG
rnacentral:rRNA from 1 species